UACGGAGGGUGCAAGCGUUAUCCGGAAUCAUUGGGUUUAAAGGGUCCGCAGGCGGAUUUAUAAGUCAGUGGUGAAAUCUCUCGGCUCAACCGAGAAACUGCCAUUGAUACUGUAAGUCUUGAAUUCGGUCGAAGUGGGCGGAAUAUGACAUGUAGCGGUGAAAUGCAUAGAUAUGUCAUAGAACACCGAUAGCGAAGGCAGCUCACUAGGCCUGGAUUGACGCUCAGGGACGAAAGCGUGGGGAGCAAACAGG
rnacentral:rRNA from 1 species